rnacentral:rRNA from 1 species
AAAGAAAACUCCAACCCAUGUGAAUAUACCUAUUUGUUUGCCUCGGCGGGGCGCGCCUACCUAGUAGCCCCUUUAACCUGUUAGGGCCUACCCGGAAGAGGCGAGAUGACCUGCUCGGUGGCCCACGAAACUCUGUCUAAUAUUAAAUUCUGAAUCUAUAACUAAAUAAGUUAAAACUUUCAACAACGGAUCUCUUGGUUCUGGCAUCGAUGAAGAACGCAGCGAAAUGCGAUAAGUAAUGUGAAUUGCAGAAUUCAGUGAAUCAUCGAAUCUUUGAACGCACAUUGCGCCCAUUAGUAUUCUAGUGGGCAUGCCUGUUCGAGCGUCAUUUCAACCCUUAAGCCCCUGUUGCUUAGGGUUGGGAGCCUACAGCACUCGCUGUAGCUCCUUAAAAUUAGUGGAGGAGUCGGUUCACACUCUAGAAGUAGUACUCUUUACCUCGCCUGUAGUGAGACCGGUCCCCUGCCAUAAAACCCCCCAAUUUUGAAAAGGUUGACCUCGGAUCAGGUAGGAAUACCCCCUGAACUUAAGCAUAUCAAUAAGGCGGAAG